rnacentral:rRNA from 1 species
UACGUAGGGUGCGAGCGUUGUCCGGAAUUAUUGGGCGUAGAGGGCUCGUAGGCGGUUUGUCGCGUCGGGAGUGAAAACUCAGGGCUUAACCCUGAGCCUGCUUCCGAUACGGGCAGACUAGAGGUAUGCAGGGGAGAACGGAAUUCCUGGUGUAGCGGUGAAAUGCGCAGAUAUCAGGAGGAACACCGGUGGCGAAGGCGGUUCUCUGGGCAUUACCUGACGCUGAGGAGCGAAAGUGUGGGGAGCGAACAGG